rnacentral:rRNA from 1 species
UACGUAGGGUGCGAGCGUUGUCCGGAAUUACUGGGCGUAAAGGGCUCGUAGGUGGUUUGUCGCGUCGUCUGUGAAAUUCCGGGGCUUAACUCCGGGCGUGCAGGCGAUACGGGCAUAACUUGAGUACUGAAGGGGUAACUGGAAUUCCUGGUGUAGCGGUGAAAUGCGCAGAUAUCAGGAGGAACACCGAUGGCGAAGGCAGGUUACUGGGCAGUUACUGACGCUGAGGAGCGAAAGCAUGGGUAGCGAACGGG